GCGUGGGUCGGCCCGCUGUACUGGAUCCAGUGGGCUGGGGGACACCGCCGCCUACAUCCCCGCGGGCGGCGGACCGGUCCGGGGGGCGAACUCCGCCUCCCGGACUGUG
rfam:Streptomyces scabiei 87.22 complete genome